AUGGAGAAGGGCAAGGGCCUCGCCCGCCGCUGGGCAGUGGAGCUCCACGACGCAUCUUCCUCCUCAUCCUCGCCUGCCUUCCCCGAUCCUCCCGGCUUCACCAGAUCUGCCCCGGAAGCGGAUGACGCCGCCAGCGCGCGGCAGCGCAAGGAGACCGAAGCCGCCUGGAAGGGGCAGAAGGCCUGGGAGGUGGCGCAGGCGCCCUUCAAGAACCUGAUGAUGAUGGGUUUUAUGAUGUGGAUGGCCGGGAGCACAGUCCACCUGUUCAGCAUUGGCAUCGUCUUCUCUGCUCUCUGGCAGCCCUUCAACGCACUCCGAUCUGUCGGGAAAGUUUUUGAACCAUUUAAGGACCCAAGGGUGGAUACACUUGCACCUAAGUUGCUCUUCACUGCUCUCAACUUGGCCGCUAUGGGUUUGGGUGUUUGGAAGCUCAAUACAUUGGGUCUUCUUCCAACAAAUGCAUCAGACUGGGUAUCUUCACUGUCUCCUGCUCGGGAGGUUGAAUAUGCUGGUGGAGGGAUCCCCUUGAUGUAA
rnacentral:rRNA from 1 species